rnacentral:RNase_P_RNA from 3 species
UGAGCAGCACAAGUGACCGCGCCCAUUCAGACGAAAGGGAAUGGGUGAGGAAAGUCCGAGCUUCACAGGGCAGGAUGCCGGAUAACGUCCGGUGGAGGCGACUCCCAGGCUAGUGCAACAGAAAUAUACCGCCACGGCUUUGCCCGUGGUAAGGUUGGAAUGGCGAGGUAAGAGCUCACCGCCUCUCUGGUAACAGGGAGGGCAUAUGUAAACCCCAUCCGAAGCAAGACCGAACAGGAAGCAAUACGGCGGCCCGUCGUGCUUUCGGGUAGGUCGCUAGAGCCUGUUGGCAACAGCAGGUCCAGAUAGAUGGUCACUCAACGACAGAACUCGGCUUAUCGUGCUGCUCAUAUG